GCCUGGAUGGCGGAAUUGGUAGACGCGCACGACUCAAAAUCGUGUGGACGUAAGUCCAUGAGGGUUCGAUUCCCUCUCUAGGCA
rfam:Candidatus Falkowbacteria bacterium RIFOXYA2_FTLL_47_19 rifoxya2_full_scaffold_223, whole genome shotgun sequence.